rnacentral:rRNA from 1 species
AGGGCACCACCAGGAGUGGAGCCUGCGGCUUAAUUUGACUCAACACGGGAAAACUUACCCGGCCCGGACACUGGAAGGAUUGACAGAUUGAGAGCUCUUUCUUGAUUCAGUGGGUGGUGGUGCAUGGCCGUUCUUAGCUGGUGGAGCGAUUUGUCUGGUUAAUUCCGAUAACGAACGAGACUCUAGCCUACUAAAUAGACUGUUCAGCUUUAUAGCCGGAAUCACCGGGCAUGUAGCUCUCACGGGUUGCAUGUUCGGCUCUGGUGACGUUGGCAGUGCUUCUUAGAGGGACAGGCGGCGGUUCAGCCGCACGAAACAGAGCAAUAACAGGUCUGUGAUGCCCUUAGAUGUCCGGGGCUGCACGCGCGCUACACUGAAGUGAUCAGCGUGCAAUUUACGUUUGGUGAUCUGUCAAGAUUGCCCAACCCGUUGAACCUUCUUCGUGAUUGGGAUAGGGGAUUGUAAUUAUUCCCCUUGAACGAGGAAUUCCCAGUAAGCGCAAGUCAUAAGCUUGCGUUG